rnacentral:tRNA from 1 species
UGCAUCGGCCGGGAAUCGAACCAGGGCCUCCACGUGGCAGGCGAGCAUUCUCGCCAUUGAACUACCGAUGC